rnacentral:lncRNA from 1 species
UUGUAUUAUAAAACUAUUUAUUGAACUCUAUAUAUAAUAAAACAUAAAAGGGAUUUACAAUAGUAAUAAUCUAAGUAUAUUUUCCAUGUGAUGCUAGUAAUACCAUAUAGAAUGAUAUAUGGGACCCUACAAAAAAAGGAAAAUAAAAAAUUAAAGUAUGUUAAUAAUGAUUUCAACUUUUGGACUCAAAUUCUAAGACAAUUUUUGCUACUAGAAAUACAAACAAACACUUGAGAAAAACUAAAGUAUAACGUUGAACAUAUAUAAAGCAUAAGAAUAAAAACAAACGGAAAAAAAAAGAGGCUAUAUGUGUCAUCAUCUUCAUUAGUUAAACAACAUAAAUUGAAUAAAAAUAUUAAUGAAUAUACCAAAACCUUCAAAUUCUCUAAACAUUCAAGUGUCUUCAGAUUACAAAGAAAAUGAAAUUUAUAAAAAAAAAUCAAGAAUGCGUAUUCGCCGCGGUAUUUUAUCAAACAAUUGGCGUGCAACAAUGUAAAUGACAAUUAAAAUUUGCAAAGCUCUGUACUUUGAAAUCUCACCUCCAUUAUUCAUCCAAAGAGAGAUAUAGAAGGCAUAUACGUUGCUUCUUUGAUAUUUAUCCCCAUAUUCAAUUAUUUUCAUGAUUUCU